rnacentral:lncRNA from 1 species
GUUUAAUAAACAGGUCUGAGAGUGUUCACUGUGAAGAGAGGUUUAAUAAACAGGUCUGAGAGUGUUCACUGUGAAGAGAGGUUUAAUAAACAGGUCUGAGAGUGUUCACUGUGAAGAGAGGUUUAAUAAACAGGUCAGAGAGUGUUCACUGUGAAGAGAGGUUUAAUAAACAGGUCUGAGAGUGUUCACUGUAAAGAGAGGUUUAAUAAACAGGUCUGAGAGUGUUCACUUUAAAGAGAGGUUUAAUAAACAGGUCUGAGAGUGUUCACUGUGAGGAGAGGUUUAAUAAACAGGUCUGAGAGUGUUCACUGUGAAGAGAGGUUUAAUAAACAGGUCUGAGAGUGUUCACUGGAAAGAGAGGUUUAAUAAACAGGUCUGAGAGUGUUCACUGUGAAGAGAGGUUUAAUAAACAGGUCUGAGAGUGUUCACUGUGAGGAGAGGUUUAAUAAACAGGUCUGAGAGUGUUCACUGUGAGGAGAGGUUUAAUAAACAGGUCUGAGAGUGUUCACUGUGAAGAGAGGUUUAAUAAACAGGUCUGAGAGUGUUCACUGUGUGUAGAGGUUUAAUAAACAGGUCUGAGAGUGUUCACUGUGAAGAGAGGUUUAAUAAACAGGUCUGAGAGUGUUCACUGUGAAGAGAGGUUUAAUAAACAGGUCUGAGAGUGUUCACUGUGAGGAGAGGUUUAAUAAACAGGUCUGAGAGUGUUCACUGUGUGGAGAGGUUUAAUAAACAGGUCUGCCUCUUUCCUCCGUAUUAAAGAGAACCUGAAGAACCACAAACAAUGUAGGGAAUAUUCCACUAACAGUUAAAGUUAAUCACAGUCUUUAUGUGUUACUAUGUAUUAGUGUUUAGCCAGUGUAACAGAGUAAGAAAAUAUAUCCUGCUUUUAUUUGUGUAUUUCGUCAAAGUAAUACUCAGCCUAAAGGAAGACAUGGAGGAGACGUCUUUAAGGUCAUUUACAGUCAUCUAUGAAUAUCUCAGAGCAUCUGUUUAUGCCGUAUCCCAUGACCCACCACUACACGUACUCAUGCAAACACAUGUCCCACCACGUAUUUGUGUGUGUGUUAUGUGUGUGUGUGUGUGUGUGUGUGUGUGUGUGUGUGUGUGUGUGUGUGUG